rnacentral:lncRNA from 1 species
ACACUCUUUCUUUUUGCCCAAGAAUUCAUCCAUUUUAGAGAGGCACAUAGAUAAAGAAUGGAGAGCGGAACAAUACAAGGGCUAGAAAUUAGGGAAAGAUCUGGAAUUUUUAGGGUGGAGACGACACAAAGUAUCGGCUUCUGGAGGAGACAAUACCCAUUUUAGGAUUUGGCUCUCUGUUAUUGCUCUCACAGAAAAUCAAUCCAAAAUACCAUCUAUACAAUACCAAGCACCACCAGUCGAACCAUCGUAGAUCUGUCCCCAAAACUGCCAUUGGUCCUCCAUAACAAGCCAUUUUCAUGGCGCCAUUAAUUAUUGAGUAACGUUGAGUAUCGUUCCAGUGCUCCGGUCGGCGCUUUUCUGUUCAAGGUCAGGUCAGAGGCGUGAAUUGAUUUUUAAUUUAGUGCAAGUUUGCUGUCAACCUUUUGCUUUUCGGUGUCGUACUUAGAGGCAUUCAUAAAUCAAAUUCUGAAAGAAAUUUUGGUUUUAACAAAGAUACGAGGCUUUCGAAGGUCAAUUCACGAGGCAAAAGCAUAGCGGAGUAAAUAAUUACACGGUUCAAAGUAAGUGACUUGUCUAACCUUGUGUUGGAGAAAUUCCCAUAGGAUUGGUAUUGUCAUGAAAAUUGUGAUGUGUUGAAAGUCGUGUAUGCGAGGUGACGAGUGUGUACACGGGUUAACUGUGGAAAAACUUUAGUUUUAAGUUGUGUAGAUCUCUGUUAUAUAUUAAUUAAAUUAUUUUAUCCGGUAAUAUUCAACAUCAUUGGUCUAUUUAUAUAUUUUGAAAUUUGUCUUACCUUUUUUCUGCUAAUUGCUUUACCUGUUUAGUUGAAACUUUGUUUCUUUUAUUUUGUGCUCAUUAUUUGAAAGUUGAAUUUCUUAAUUGAAUUAUUAUUAAUAUGAAGUAUUUGACAUUGAAAUUUGGUAUUUGAGGUAAAGUGUUUUAUUGUGAAAUAUUGCUUUGUUAAGUUAUUCACUCCCGGAUAUUUUAUUGAGAUUUGUAUUCAUUGUGAUUGAGCUGUGAGCUCCUUAUUGUGGAAAUUAAUAUUGUUGUUGAUUUAUUUUGGCAAGUUGAGAUAUUUGGGCACUUGAGGUGCAAAUUGUGAUAUUGAUACGCAUACGGUGGUAUAAGGUCUGGGUGUUGAAACGCAUGCGGUGAGAUAAGGGUGGCUUGAUACGCGUGGCUAGUAGGGAAACUACUAGAAGUCAUGCGGUGUGAUAAGGGUGGCUAAAACGUGGGAUGCCAUUUCGGGAUUAAUGAUUUCUUUAAAAUUAAAUGUGAAGGCUCCCGCAGUGAUAUAAGAAAAUGAGAUAUUGUGAAUUUAUUUAUGAUUUGGGACUACGAGGCGGUACCUCAGGAGUGCCCUUGUUGAUAUUUCUUUAUGGCUGCAUUUGCCUUUGGUUAUUUUUGUAUUUUUCUUAAAGUUGUAAAUUUUUGUUUUCCUUCUAUGACGUAUUAUUUGCCUUUAUUCUGUGUAUUUAAAUUGUGACAUACUACUUACUUGAUUCAUUCCUAUUAUCAUUUUUAUUAUUAUAUUGUUAAACUUUUUACCCUGUCUUUUAUUAUUUUUAGUAGGGCCUGACCUAACCUCGUCACUACUCUACCGAGGUUAGGCUUUACACUUACUGGGUACCGCUGUGGUGUACUCAUACUACGCUUCUGCACAUCUUUUUUUGCAGAUCAAGGUACUUCCUAUCAGACUAGGCAUCAGUGAACUAGCCAUACACGGAGACUUCAAGGUAUAUCUGCUAGCGUCCGCAGACCUCAAAAUCCCCUUCUAUCCUUAUUAUGUUGUUUCCCUUUUUCUCUUUAGACUCAGAUGUAUAGAGACACUUAGAAUAAAUUUUUAGAAGCUUGUGACUUAUUUCUAUCGGGUAUUGGGAGUUAUAAUUAUUUGAAUUGCAGUUUCAAUUAUUUUAGAUUUCUAUUAUGUUAUUCCGCAUUGAUAGGCUUACCUAGUCUUAGAGACUAGGUGCAAUCGCGAUAUCCUACAGGGGGAAUUUAGGGUCGUGACAAGUUGAUAUCAGAGCUCUAGGUUCAUAGGUGUUAUGAGUCAUAAGCAGGUUUAGUAGAGUCUCGCGAAUCGGUACGGAGACGUUUGUACUUAUCUUCGGGAGGCUAUGAAACUGUUAGGAAAAUGUUCAUUUCUUUGAUUCCAUAUCGUGCGCAUUUGUUGACUUCGAAAUUCUAAACUCUAGUCUUUUUAUUCUCUCACAUAUGGUGAGGACACGUACAACUGGAUCCGAUGAUCAGACAUCCACACCCCCUGUUGGAGCCGCAAGAGGCCGGAGCCGGGGCAUAGGCCGAGGAAGACCCCGCGGUGCAGCCAGAGCACCUGCACGAGCUGCUGCAGCAGAGCCACCAGUAGCUCCAGUUGGAGAGCAUGAACCUGAGACGCCUGUUACUACCCCUGCACUUUAAAACCUCUGGGGCAUGGUAAACCUGGGCCUGUGGCUCUGGGGUACGGGCGGCGGAAGUCUGUGCUCCUCCCCCGGCCUGAGAUGUGGCAGGAGAGUUGAGAAGUUUGACCGAGAGUUAAUUUUGUGGUUACUAGGUUUGGAUUUUCAUUUCGGAAUUUUGAAUAGGUAUGUCGUAUCAUUUAAGACUUGUGUGCAAAUUGUGAGGUCAAUCAGAUAUGAUUUGAUAGGUUUUGGCAUCGAAUGUAGAAGUUGAAAGUUCAUUAGUUUCAAUAGGCUUGAAUUGGGGUGCGAUUCGUAUUUUUGAUAUUGUUUGAUGUGAUUUGAGGCCUCGACUCACUCGUAUCAUGUUUUAGAACUUGUUGGUAUAUUUGGUUGAGGUCCCAGGGGCCUCAGGUGAGUUUCAGGUUGAUUGCGGAUUGAAUUUGGCCUUGUAGAGUUGCAGAUUUUCUGGUGUCUAAUGUUCUUAUAUGCAUUCGCGAGAGAGGUCUCGCAUUCGCGAAGAGUAACUGGGAGGCAGGUAAAGUUUGUUCUUCGCAUUCGCGAAGAAGGCCACGCGUUCGCGAAGGUAUAGUGUGUUUGUGCAUCACGGGCAAGGAGCCGCGUUCGCGAAGAAGAAAGGCAGGCUGGGGAUCUCACACGUUAGGUCUAUGCGUUCGCGAUGGAGGCUUUGCGUUCGUGAAGCUUGGGAUCAUUUGGUCAUCACGUUCGCGUAAGAGGAAUUUUGGCAGCUGAGUAUUUUGUGCUUGGCGAACGCGAGGCUCUUUCCGCGUUCGCGAAGAAGGACAUCUGGGCAGAAUAUAAGAUUUCAAAAAGGAGGGUUAGAGUAAAAUUUCAUAAUUGAACUUUGGGAGCUCGGAUUGAGGCGAUUAUUGGAGGAGUUUUCAAGGAAUUGAUUGGGGUAAGUGAUUCUAAUUCGGAUUUGGUUAAUAUACAUGAAUCUAUCAUUAUUUUUAUCAUUUAAUUAGUGUUUUGGGUUGGAAAAUUUGGGAAAUAAUGUAGAAACUUCAUAGGCUUUAAUUUGAGGAUUUGAAGGUCGAGUUGUGAUCGGAAUUGAAUAAUUUUGGUAUGGUUGGACUCGUGGUUGAAUGGAUAUUCAGAUUUUGUUAAUUUUGUCGGAUUCCGAGAUGUGAGCCCGGGGUUAACUUUUUGAGUUGAUUUUUUUUACUUUUGUUAAACAGCUUAGAUUUGUCAUAUGGAAUUGAUUCAUAUAACUUAUGUUGAUUGUAUCGAGUUGUUUGUGGCUAGAUUCGAGGCGUUUGGAGGCCGAUUCGCGAGGCAAGGGAAUAUUGGAGUAGAGAUUUACAGGGUUUGAGGUAAGUAAUAUUUUUAAACUUGGUUCUGAGGGUAUGAACCCCUAAUUACGUGUUAUGUGGUUGGUGUUGAGGUGACACACAUGCUAGGUGACAGGCGUGUGGGUGUGCACUGUAGAAAUUGUGACUCGGUCGAUUUUAUGGAAUUGUGUAGUCAUAUAAUCUUGUUAUUAUCCAUGUAUUCUCCAUGUGUUAGAGAAAUUGAGUUGUGAUUCAUGUUAGAAAUCAUAUUUAGGCUAUAUGCUGGUUCAGUUGGGACCCUCUGAGGUCUUGUUGCUGUUGAAUUAUUUCCUUAAUUUGCAAUUAUGUACUCGAUCACAUCUAUCAUUUGUAUAUCAUAUCUCAGUCUCUAUUGGCAUUUAUUGAUAUAUCAUAUCAUCAUUGUUUGGGCUGAUUGUCAUGAUAUUUGUGAGCCCGAGAGUCUGGUGAGAUUGAUGACUGAGUGAGGCCGCAGGCCUGAUUGUGAGUGAGUUUUAUGGGAUCGGGCUGCACACCACAUCAGGCUUUAUUGAUUCAUUCCAUGAUUGGCUUAUUUUAGUGCUUGGGCAGGAUCCACCCCUUCGGAGUCUGACUUACCAACAGUAAGCACAGGUGCCUAUUAAGUGCGAGUGCGAGUGACGAGCGAUUUGAAGAACUGAGUGACUAGGAUGACUGAGUGAUUGGGAGGACUGAGUGAAUUGAUACUCCGAGAGUAUGCAUAAGAUUUUAUCACUGUGUUGUAUUACAAUUGGAAUGCAUAAUUGACAUGUAGAUAUAGUGAUGUAUCAUUCCUCAUUUCUGUCACACUUGGCAUAUUUUAUCCGUAUUGAACUUAAACUGUUAAAUUUGGAAGCAUGUAUAUAUUUAUGUACUCUAAAAUUUUUGUAUUUGGAUUGUACAUGUUAAGCUCAUCACUACUUUCAGCACAAGGUUAGUCUUGUUACUUAUUGAAAAUAUUGGGUUGGUUGUAUUCAUACUACACUUUGCAUUUUGAGCGCAGAUCCAGGUACUUUCGUGUACGGUGGCUGCUAGCUUCAGAGUUUCAUCUGUUAGAGACUAUCGAGGUAGCUGCCUUGGCAUCCGCAGACCUUGACUCUCCUUAUUUUCAAUUAUUUGUACUGUUCUAUCUUUCUAGAUAGUAUUUUAGCAGUCAGACUAUGUUGUCAUUUAGAAGCUCAUGUACUCAGUGACACCCAAAUUUUGGAGUUGCGUUAUUUUCUUAUCA